rnacentral:sRNA from 1 species
CGGUAAGGUUCAAAGGCUAAGACCGCCACGUGCUGUGGAAACGCCUUUGUGACCAACAUCGUGUUGG